AUUUCAUUCCAUUCUUUUCAAUCUUUCUCAACUCACUUCAUGACAAUCAUGAUUUCAAUUCACUCACUCACUCACUUGACUUGACUUGUUUGAGUCACAUUGCUCUGGCCGGCACAUGGAGUUUGCUCGGAAUUGUCAUGCUGCUGCAGCUGCUUCCAGACAUUCAUAGAUUUAAGGGCUGCUACAAGAAGUUACUAGAUGAGUCAGGAAAUGGAUGACCAAUUACUUACUCAUAGAAGGCUAUCCAACAUUAUACUUGGCUGGAUUAAACCAAGAUUGUCACCAACAAAAUUAUGCCCAGUGCCAUCCCAUUCCAUGUCCUUGGGAUGAAUUUGUAAAUGCAGUGAUAUGUAUCAUGUAUGAAUUGUAUGUUACCAGUAUAGAAAGUAAUUUUGAAGUUCCGAAAGGGAAAUAUAGAAUAUAGGGAAUUGUGGCUAAUCGGCUCGGUAUGUCUCAGUGGAAGGUAUGGCUUACCCUGCACUCAGCUCGGCAGUAUCCAUACCAUUAUGCACCAGUACUCACUGUUGAAGAGGGAGACCCUGCAAGAAGGACGAACUUCUGCAGAUUUUUAAUUAAUUGAAGAUCCUGAGUACCUGAAGAAAAAUUUGUGGACAGAUAAAUCCAAUUUCGACUGUGAAUGUAUAACAAACUACUACAACUUUAAAAGCUAGUCAACUAAAGGGUAAAGGUGGGUAAAGGGGGGGGGUAGGGUAGUAAGCUUUGUGAGUGGCCUGGUCGCAGGACAGCUCGGUGCCGUCGGGUUGGUCCACCUGGAAUUAACUUUGUUGAAAUGUCAACAUUUGUCCUUAUUUAGAAAGCUGAGGAAGUCUCAUUUCUGUAUUUUUUAUGCAAAGUGUCAUACUAUGUAUGUCAUAGUAUGUUAAGUGUCAAUAAAAACUUGUGACUGACUUUUUUUGUAAAAUUUUGUAAAGUGCUCAUAUAACAUGAACACCAAUGAGUUUUGACCCAUGGUUGACUGAACUUAAAUUGUUGCAAAUGAACCAUAGAAUAACCCCUGUCAAGGAACGCUGUAUGACUCAGUUUAAGUAGUGAAUAGAAUAGCACUACUUGAGAAUAAAUAAAAGUAUUACAAAGUAA